UACGUAGGGGGCUAGCGUUGUCCGGAUUUAUUGGGCGUAAAGAGCGUGUAGGCGGCCAUGUAGGUCCGGUGUGAAAAACUCGAGGCUUAACCUCGAGAUGUCAUCGGAAACCAUUUGGCUAGAGUCCGGAAGAGGAGAGUGGAAAUUCCUGGUGUAGCGGUGAAAUGCGCAGAUAUCAGGAAGAACACCAAUGGCGAAAGCAGCUCUCUGGGACGGUACUGACGCUGAGACGCGAAAAGCGUGGGGAGCGAACAGG
rnacentral:rRNA from 1 species